GUGCUUGCUUCAGCAGCACAUAUACUAAAAUUGGAAUGAUACAGAGAAGAUUAACAUGGCUCCUGCCCAAAGAUGAUUGCAAAUUCCUAAAAAAUAGAGACAUAAGAU